rnacentral:rRNA from 1 species
UACGGGGGGGGCAAGCGUUGUUCGGAAUUACUGGGCGUAAAGCGUGCGCAGGCGGUUUGCUAAGACAGGUGUGAAAUCCCCGGGCUCAACCUGGGAACUGCAUUUGUGACUGCAUCGCUGGAGUGCGGCAGAGGGGGAUGGAAUUCCGCGUGUAGCAGUGAAAUGCGUAGAUAUGCGGAGGAACACCGAUGGCGAAGGCAAUCCCCUGGGCCUGCACUGACGCUCAUGCACGAAAGCGUGGGGAGCAAACAGG